GGAGCGCGCGCUCCUCCUCCUCAAUCGCAGCUGGGCCCGCUGUAAAGGGGCGCCUGGGGCAGGGACGGCCACGGCGCGAGGGACAGUCGGAGCAACACGUGCGCCUUCCUCCCGAGCGACCUUUGCAAACCAAUGGGCGCGUUUGCAAUGGGAGGCUGGUUGCUGGAAUGACUCGCUUCUUUGUUCGUGGCAGGGGGUGUGGAAAACUCCCGCAUGCAGCAGGGGAGACUAGGCUGUAAUCAGCAACCGGUGCCUGUGCUGCACAAUCUGGCAGGAAACAAUUUUUGGCAAAGAAGGAAGUUUCAGGUUCUGGAAAUUGUCUGAUAAAAUAAAAGAAUGUGUGAUACCCCUCAGAGACUCCGAGAUGCUUCUUCUGCCUCUUUAUGCCCUUUGCAUCUCCUUCUGCAAGAUCCAAUAGCAUCAUGAGAUGUAUAGUUAUGUGGAACCAAAUCCUGCCUGCUUGACUCACACAAGUAGCUCUACUGAUGUCAACAGGACUAUUUGUCCAAGACCUUGAGGAACACACCAGGCACCCCUGCCAACCGGCUUCAGCAGAUAAGGCAGAAGCAGAGAUGCAGCAAAGACGACGUUCAGGGAGGUGCUUCAGCCUGAUGAGAAACAGACCAGGGAACACAAAGAGUACUGGGAAGCCAAUGCAGCAUUUGCUAGGCAAGCGAGAGAGAGGAUGAUAAAAGUUAUGGAGGAUCAGACAGAAAUGCUCAAGUCUUUGAUACAGCUGCAGACUGAGCAGUUCUGUGG